rnacentral:rRNA from 1 species
GAUGAACGCUGGCGGCGUGCCUAAUACAUGCAAGUCGAGCGAACAGACGAGGAGCUUGCUCCUCUGACGUUAGCGGCGGACGGGUGAGUAACACGUGGAUAACCUACCUAUAAGACUGGGAUAACUUCGGGAAACCGGAGCUAAUACCGGAUAAUAUAUUGAACCGCAUGGUUCAAUAGUGAAAGACGGUUUUGCUGUCACUUAUAGAUGGAUCCGCGCCGCAUUAGCUAGUUGGUAAGGUAACGGCUUACCAAGGCAACGAUGCGUAGCCGACCUGAGAGGAUGAUCGGCCACACUAGAACUGAGACACGGUCCAGACUCCUACGGGAGGCAGCAGUAGGGAAUCUUCCGCAAUGGGCGAAAGCCUGACGGAGCAACGCCGCGUGAGUGAUGAAGGUCUUCGGAUCGUAAAACUCUGUUAUUAGGGAAGAACAAAUGUGUAAGUAACUAUGCACGUCUUGACGGUACCUAAUCAGAAAGCCACGGCUAACUACGUG